UACACUCCUCUCUCACACUCUUUUGUCUCUCAUCUCAGCCCUCUCUCACCCUCUUCUCUCUCACUUCUCAGCCCUCUUUCACCCUCUUCUCUCUCACCGUCUGCAUACCAAAAUCAAGCCCUCAACAUGACGUCCACUGCAUCAUCAGAUCCAUCCACGUAUCGCGUCACAGAUAUGGAAUCAUAGCAGAUCUGGAGGGGUUGAGAUGAAGUCAGGAAUUUGUUUUGCGAUGCUAUUUGGGAAUUGAGAAUCUAUGUUUACAGCUUUGAUAUUUUGUUGUUGUUAUUAAGGUGCGGCUAUUGCCACCCUACUAACUAUUUUCUUCACCUUACAUUCUCUUCUCACCCUACAUAUAUUUUUUUUUAAUUUCAAGUUUACUUAGUUCACUUCA